rnacentral:rRNA from 1 species
GGAAUAUUGGACAAUGGGCGCAAGCCUGAUCCAGCAACGCCGCGUGGAGGAUGAAUGCCUUCGGGUUGUAAACUCCUGUCAGGUGGAACGAACGAGCCUUGGCUAACACCCGAGGCUCUUGACGGUACUACCAGAGGAAGCCCCGGCUACAUCCGUGCCCGCAGCCGCGGUAAUACGGAGGGGGCGAGCGUUAUUCGGAAUCAUUGGGCGUAAAGGGCGCGUAGGCGGCCAGACCAGUCAGGGGUGAAAUCCCUCGGCUCAACCGAGGAAUUGCCUCUGAAACUGUCUGGCUUGAGGCCGGGAGAGGGUAGUGGAAUUCCCAGUGUAGCGGUGAAAUGCGUAGAUAUUGGGAGGAACACCAGUGGCGAAGGCGGCUACCUGGACCGGUUCUGACGCUGAGGCGCGAAAGCGUGGGGAGCAAAC